rnacentral:rRNA from 1 species
GAUGAACGCUGGCGGCGUGCUUAACACAUGCAAGUCGAACGAAGCACUUUAACCUGAUUCUUCGGAUGAAGGUUUUUGUGACUGAGUGGCGGACGGGUGAGUAACGCGUGGGUAACCUGCCUCAUACAGGGGGAUAACAGUUAGUAAUGACUGCUAAUACCGCAUAAGACCACCGAGCCGCAUGGCUCGGUGGGAAAAACUCCGGUGGUAUUAGAUGGACGCUCGUCUGAUUAGGUAGUUGCGAGGGUAACGGGCUACCAAGCCAAGGAUCAGUAGCCGAGCUGUGAGAGAGAGCCGCCACACUGAGGCGGGGACGCAGCCGGGACUCCUACGGGAUGCAGCAGAGGUGAAUAUAGCACAAUGGGGUAAGCGCUGAAGCAGCUACGCCGGGAAAGCGAUGUAGUAUGUCAGGAAGUAAAGCUCUAUCAGCAGGGAAGAAAAUGACGGUACCUAACGAAGAAGCACCGGCUAAAUACGUG